rnacentral:rRNA from 1 species
UACGAAGGGGGGCUAGCGUUGCUCGGAAUCACUGGGCGUAAAGGGCGCGUAGGCGGCCAUUCAAGUCGGGGGGUGAAAGCCUGUGGCUCAACCACAGAAUUGCCUUCGAUACUGUUUGGCUUGAGUAUGGUAGAGGUUGGUGGAACUGCGAGUGUAGAGGUGAAAAUUCGUAGAUAUUCGCAAGAACACCGGUGGCGAAGGCGGCCAACUGGACCAUUACUGACGCUGAGGCGCGAAAGCGUGGGGAGCAAACAGG